rnacentral:rRNA from 1 species
CCCUUGCGCGCCUGAAGCUCCGCCGGCGUCCGGCCACCACCUCGCCCGCCGGCCAUCACCUCGCCCGUCGGCCACCACCUCUCGCGCCGGCCCCGGCCACGUCCUCCAUCGCCCCUGGCCUCAGCUCCGUCGCCCUCGAAGCUCUGCAGGCAUCCGCCACAACAUCGCCUGCCGUCCCCGUCGCCCUUCCCCCUUUGCCACGGGCGCUGCCGGCCCCGUCGCCCCAGCCAGGCUCCGCCGACCAUGGCCCUGGCCCCGCGUGCCUCCGCCCUCCCGGGCCGCAUCACUCGACGCUGCACCACCUCCCGCCUCGAGGAGCGGGGGCAGCUCAUUGGGCAUCCAUGGCGGUUCUGCUUUGUCCGUGGAGAUGCCCUGUCGUUGGAUAAUGGAAGGGGAAGUGAGAGGGCGCAGCUGUUGUUUACUGCUGCUCCGAUGAGCACAGGAUAUGGUUGCAGGUUGGUACGGGCGUCAAGAUCGAACUGAAGAUGGCUUUGCUUGCUGGAUCUUGGGCUGCUAUAUCACCCUGUUCUUCUGUAAUCUUUUCAUGUGUAAUUCGUUCAUCUUAUGAAAUAGAGCAGUUUUGCCUCGGAUCAGCAAGUGAUAAUGUCUUAUGUGUAAAAAGAGUAAUUUUGUAUUGUGAAAUUUGUUCGGUAGAUUCUUGGAACAAAGUGUUGAUGUGUACUCUGGUGUGGUGUUCAUUGUUGUCCUCUGCACUAGGACUGUUGAUUC